rnacentral:lncRNA from 1 species
GAAAUAUUGUGAAGAACAUGGGAUUGUUAAGGAAAACAUAUUUGACUUGACUAAAGUUGGUAAGUUGGGGUUUCCGGCGUUCUCUUCCUAAAUUCCCAUGUUACAGAAGGGAGUAAUCCAGGGGAAGUAAUACCUUCCAAAUCAGUUCCCUUUGUGCUAACUUGGAGAAUCAUCUGGUUUCUCUCUGAAAAAUAAACUGGUGUCGGUAUCUGAAUUUGUUUUAUUUUCCCUCAACAGAUCGCUGUCUCCAGGCCCGAGAUGGGGGAGCAGCCUAGGACUCCAGGGCUGAGUGAAUACUUCCUCACCUGGACUCCAUCUUCCCUUCCUGGUCCCCAUGUCCUCUUGUGACAAGUUCUGUGACCUGAUUUCCAUCAUAUCACACAUGAAGACAUCAUCCCUGCAUCUUUAGGAUCUUCCCUAACUGCCUAUGAAGACUCAGAAAUUCACCAAGAAUCAAAGGUUUUCUCUGAAUUUCUGACUGUCCUUGUCACACAGCCAGGGGAACUCUACGUGAAUAACACCUGACUCUACAUGAUCAAUAAAUCAUUAACCUUGCAGUCAUGUAAUUUGUCCUUGUAUCUGUGAGGAUGUGAGGCUGACAGGGAGCGAAUGAAGGGGCUUCCUUGCCCCUGAACCCGUAAUCUUCCUCUAGUGUCUCAGAAUCUUCUCUGAGCUUCAGGAUUCUCCUUCCUCUGCAGUAAUUCCCUGUUAGGUUAUCCCAAGUCCCCAUGAGUGCUGCUUACCCUUUGAUUUGCCAAUCUCUUAGUGAUCUGAUAAGAGCAUUAUAAAUAAUAUAAGAAUAUAAGACUUGCCCCAUGAUUUCUGCAUCCUAGAAUUCUCUUUUCAGUUGGGGACACUGACAG